rnacentral:lncRNA from 1 species
UUCGAAAGGACAGUACUACUGCACUGCAGCUGAAGAAGGAAAAUAAUUUAAAAAAAUGAGCUUUUCAUGCAGUGCUCACCUGUCUUCCUUCAAAGCACCGUGCUCAAAAGGGGGAACGAUAGAAGCACUGGCUUAGAAUUCUUCUCCUAUGAAAGACAUUAGGUCAUCAUUGGUCUGACUGUGACACACCUACUUCAUGCUUUGGUCAUUGGUCUGUCUUUUGAGGAGGAUUCUAUUGAGGAAGAUUAUCAUCUAUGUGUGCAAUUGUGGCUACAAAGUCAGAAAAUGUCUUUCUCUCUUUGCUGUCAUGCUAGAACAUGAGCCCUCAGAAAACAAAAAUAUCUGCACUUCAAUGCUGAGUCCCCACAGUAAACUGCUCAAAUCUACCAGCAGCAUUCCAGUACUUACAGGAAAGGAACUCUACAGGAUGGUGGCAUAGCCAUGGAAAUAGGAACCAAGUAUAUCUGAAAUGUAUCCU